AGUUGCGAACGGGUGAGUAACGCGUAGGUAACCUGCCUGGUAGCGGGGGAUAACUAUUGGAAACGAUAGCUAAUACCGCAUGAAAUUGCUUAUCGCAUGAUAAUUAAUUGAAAGAUGCAAUUGCAUCACUACCAGAUGGACCUGCGUUGUAUUAGCUAGUUGGUGAGGUAACGGCUCACCAAGGCGACGAUACAUAGCCGACCUGAGAGGGUGAUCGGCCACACUGGGACUGAGACACGGCCCAGACUCCUACGGGAGGCAGCAGUAGGGAAUCUUCGGCAAUGGGGGGAACCCUGACCGAGCAACGCCGCGUGAGUGAAGAAGGUUUUCGGAUCGUAAAGCUCUGUUGUAAGAGAAGAACGGGUGUGAGAGUGGAAAGUUCACACUGUGACGGUAUCUUACCAGAAAGGGACGGCUAACUACGUGCCAGCAGCCGCGGUAAUACGUAGGUCCCGAGCGUUGUCCGGAUUUAUUGGGCGUAAAGCGAGCGCAGGCGGUUAGAUAAGUCUGAAGUUAAAGGCUGUGGCUUAACCAUAGUAUGCUUUGGAAACUGUUUAACUUGAGUGCAGAAGGGGAGAGUGGAAUUCCAUGUGUA
rnacentral:rRNA from 1 species